UCGGAUUGUAAACUUCUGUUGUCAGGNACNAUAAUGACGGUACCUGACGAGAAAGCCACGGCUAAGUACGUGCCAGCAACCNCGGUAAAACGUAGGUGGCAAGCGUUGUCCGGAAUUACUGGGUGUAAAGGGAGCGCAGGCGGAUUGACAAGUUGGAGGUGAAAUUCAUGGGCUCAACCCAUGACCUGCCUUCAAAACUGUCAAUCUUGAGUGGUGUGAGGUACACAAAAUUCCCGGUGUAGCGGUGGAAUGCGUAGAUAUCGGGAGGAACACCAGUGGCGAAGGCGGCCUACUGGGCACUAACUGACGCUGAGGCUCGAAAGCAUGGGUAGCAAACAGGAUUAGAUACCCUGGUAGUCCAUGCCGUAAACGAUGAUUACUAGGUGUGGGAGGAUUGACCCCUUCCGUGCCGCAGUUAACACAAUAAGUAAUCCACCUGGGGAGUACGACCGCAAGGUUGAAACUCAAAGGAAUUGACGGGGGCCCGCACAAGCAGUGGAGUAUGUGGUUUAAUUCGAAGCAACGCGAAAAACCUUACCAGGUCUUGACAUCCCGUGCAUAGCCUAGAGAUAGGUGAAGUCCUUCGGGACACGGAGACAGGUGGUGCAUGGUUGUCGUCAGCUCGUGU
rnacentral:rRNA from 1 species